rnacentral:rRNA from 1 species
AGAGUUUGAUCCUGGCUCAGAGCGAACGCUGGCGGCAGGCCUAACACAUGCAAGUCGAACGCAUCCUUCGGGGUGAGUGGCAGACGGGUGAGUAACGCGUGGGAACGUACCCUUUGGUUCGGGACAACGCCGGGAAACUGGCGCUAAUACCGGAUACGCCCUUUUGGGGAAAGGUUUACUGCCAAGGGAUCGGCCCGCGUCGGAUUAGCUUGUUGGUGAGGUAACGGCUCACCAAGGCGACGAUCCGUAGCUGGUCUGAGAGGAUGAUCAUGCCACACUGGGACUGAGACACGGCCCAGACUCCUACGGGAGGCAGCAGUGGGGAAUAUUGGACAAUGGGCGCAAGCCUGAUCCAGCCAUGCCGCGUGAGUGAUGAAGCCUUAGGGUUGUAAAGCUCUUUCGCACGCGACGAUAAUGACGGUAGCGUGAGAAGAAGCCCCGGCUAACUUCGUGCCAGCAGCCGCGGUAAUACGAAGGGGGCUAGCGUUGCUCGGAAUCACUGGGCGUAAAGGGCGCGUAGGCGGAUUUUUAAGUGGGGGGUGAAAGCCAGGGGCUCAACCCUGGAAUGGCCUUCGAUCCUGGAGA